rnacentral:rRNA from 1 species
GACGAACGCUGGCGGCGUGCUUAACACAUGCAAGUCGAGCGGUAAGGCCUCUUCGGGGGUACACGAGCGGCGAACGGGUGAGUAACACGUGGGUGACCUGCCCCUUACUCUGGGAUAAGCCUGGGAAACUGGGUCUAAUACCGGAUAUGACCUCUCAUCGCAUGGUGGGUGGUGGAAAGUUUUUUCGGUGGGGGAUGGGCCCGCGGCCUAUCAGCUUGUUGGUGGGGUGAUGGCCUACCAAGGCGACGACGGGUAGCCGGCCUGAGAGGGCGACCGGCCACACUGGGACUGAGACACGGCCCAGACUCCUACGGGAGGCAGCAGUGGGGAAUAUUGCGCAAUGGGCGGAAGCCUGACGCAGCGACGCCGCGUGGGGGAUGACGGCCUUCGGGUUGUAAACCUCUUUCGACCUCGACGAAGCGUGAGUGACGGUAGGGGUAGAAGAAGCACCGGCUAACUACGUGCCAGCAGCCGCCGUAAUAC